GAAAGUCGGAGGUAAACUGCAUCGUCACGAAGGCGUCGAUGCCCGUCGUACCGACGUAAUAGUUGCGGC
rnacentral:sRNA from 1 species